rnacentral:rRNA from 1 species
UCCAGACUCCUACGGGAGGCAGCAGUGGGGAAUAUUGCACAAUGGGGGAAACCCUGAUGCAGCGACGCCGCGUGAGUGAAGAAGUAUUUCGGUAUGUAAAGCUCUAUCAGCAGGGAAGAAAUAGCGACCUUUGGGUCGCCAGACGGUACCUGACUAAGAAGCCCCGGCUAACUACGUGCCAGCAGCCGCGGUAAUACGUAGGGGGCAAGCGUUAUCCGGAUUUACUGGGUGUAAAGGGAGCGUAGACGGCGACGCAAGUCUGAAGUGAAAUGCCAGUGCUCAACACUGGAACUGCUUUGGAAACUGUGUAGCUAGAGUGCAGGAGAGGUAAGUGGAAUUCCUAGUGUAGCGGUGAAAUGCGUAGAUAUUAGGAGGAACACCAGUGGCGAAGGCGGCUUACUGGACUGUAACUGACGUUGAGGCUCGAAGGCGUGGGGAGCAAACAGGAUUAGAUACCCGAGUACA